UACCAAAAAUCUUAGUGCAGUU
rnacentral:miRNA from 1 species